rnacentral:rRNA from 1 species
GAUGAACGCUGGCGGCGUGCCUAAUACAUGCAAGUCGAGCGAACAGAUAAGGAGCUUGCUCCUUUGACGUUAGCGGCGGACGGGUGAGUAACACGUGGGUAACCUACCUAUAAGACUGGGAUAACUUCGGGAAACCGGAGCCAAUACCGGAUAACAUUUGGAACCGCAUGGUUCUAAAGUGAAAGAUGGUUUUGCUAUCACUUAUAGAUGGACCCGCGCCGUAUUAGCUAGUUGGUAAGUUAACGGCUUACCAAGGCGACGAUACGUAGCCGACCUGAUAGGGUGAUCGGCCACACUGGAACGGAGACACGGUCCAGACUCCUACGGGAGGCAGCAGUAGGGAAUCUUCCGCAAUAGGCGAAAGCCUGACGGAGCAACGCCGCGUGAGUGAUGAAGGGUUUCGGCUCGUAAAACUCUGUUAUUAGGGAAGAACAAAUGUGUAAGUAACUGUGCACGUCUUGACGGUACCUAAUCAGAAAGCCACGGCUAACUACGUG